rnacentral:rRNA from 1 species
AUUGAACGCUGGCGGCAUGGCUAAAACAUGCAAGUCGAACGUGCCCGCGAGGGCAAGUGGCGAAAGGGUCAGUAAUACGAUCGAACGUACCCCGAGGUGGGGGGAUAGGGUGGCGAAAGUCACCAUAAUACCCCAUGAUCUCUCCGGAGCAAAGGUUUACCGCCUUGGGAGCGGCGAUCGUCCUAUCAGGUAGUUGCGGGUAAAGCCCACCAAGCCGUAGACGGGUAGCGGGUGUGAGAGCACGGGCCCGCGACAUCGAAACUGAGACACUGUUCGGACUCCUACGGGAGGCUGCAGUAACGAAUCUUCCGCAAUGGGCGAAAGCCUGACGGAGCAAUGCCGCGUGUGGGAUGAAGCGUCUCUGACGUGUAAACCACUGUCAGGGGGCAGGAACAAUGACGCCCCCAAAGGAAGUGGCGACUAACUCUGUGCCAGCAGCCGCGGUAAU